GCCCAGUACUAACUCACCUGACCUCUCUCCAGGGGUGCCAGGAAGGGUCAGAGGUCACUACCCAGCAGGCCGAGGGGCGAGGAGGUUGCUGGUGUCACAGCCUUGCUGGAGUCCACUCACGCCGCCCUGGAACAGCUGCAUGACCAGUGUGUGUUCCUGCGUGGGGAGGAGGCCAGUACUAACCGGUUCUCCGUGUGCUCGUUACGCGUAGCUGUGUCUGAUCUGACCCAGAUGAUGAGUGUGUUCAGCCGUGUGUACGACACGGACUUCAGAUCCUACUGCAGCAGAGACCCUCCCAGCCUCAGAUCACACACACAUCUUCAGCACUGUCCAUAGGCUGCUCACCGCCUGCAACACGGUACACACACAUCUUCAGCACUGUCCAUAGGCUGCUCACCGCCUGCAACACGGAGCUAGAGAUCCUGCAGCAGGUAUCAGAGGUGUCUGUAUGUCUGUCUGACACGGUGAAUGAGGUACACUCGGACCCUUGCUACUGGAGUCACGGACACAAACGCACC